rnacentral:tRNA from 1 species
GCCAGGAUGGCCGAGUGGUAAGGCGCACGCCUGGAAAGCGUGUUUCCGUAUGGAAUCCAGGGUUCAAAUCCCUGUCCUGGCG